rnacentral:rRNA from 1 species
CAGUCGCCACGGUAAUGCGUAGGUGGCAAGCGUUGUCCGGAAUUAUUGGGCGUAAAGGGCUCGCAGGCGGUUUCUUAAGUCUGAUGUGAAAGCCCCCGGCUCAACCGGGGAGGGUCAUUGGAAACUGGGAAACUUGAGUGCAGAAGAGGAGAGUGGAAUUCCACGUGUAGCGGUGAAAUGCGUAGAGAUGUGGAGGAACACCAGUGGCGAAGGCGACUCUCUGGUCUGUAACUGACGCUGAGGAGCGAAAGCAUGGGGAACGAACAGGAUUAGAGACCCGUGUAGUCCCUGUCUCUAUACA